rnacentral:rRNA from 1 species
AUACGGAGGAUCCGAGCGUUAUCCGGAUUUAUUGGGUUUAAAGGGUGCGCAGGCGGCCAUUUAAGUCAGCGGUCAAAUCGUGGGGCUCAACCCCAUUCUGCCGUUGAUACUGGGUGGCUUGAUUGCGGUCGAGGUUGGCGGAAUUCGUUGUGUAGCGGUGAAAUGCAUAGAUAUGACGAAGAACACCGAUUGCGUAGGCAGCUGACCAGACCGCAAAUGACGCUCAUGCACGAAAGUGCGGGGAUCGAACAGGAUUAGAUACCCUGGUAGUCCGCACAGUAAACGAUGAAUACUUGUUUUCGGCGAUAUAAUGUCGGAGGCAAAGCGAAAGCGAUAAGUAUUCCACCUGGGGAGUACGCCGGCAACGGUGAAACUCAAAUGAAUUGGCGGGG